AAAGCCACGUGGUUUCUUCUAAGAGAAUGCAAUAAUGAAAAUAUCUAGAGAGAUUAACUACGAACAUUUCAUUCUUGUUAAUUCUGCAAUUUCCGAAUGGCUGAAUGUGCAUUUUCGUUCCAUUUUCUUGGGAUCUGACGAGUUCGUCUGUUUUCAGGUACAAUAUUAAAUUGUUUUGUAUGCUAUUUCAAUACUAUGAUAUUUAAAUUAAGGAAUUGUGUGGAUAUUAACAUUAAUAAUAAUUAAAUAGUUAUGUGUGACGUUAAAUUGAAACCCAGAAUUAUUGGCGUUUUUGGCAGUACUAAUAUGUUUUUGUCGAGAUUACUUUUCGAAUUGACUGGCUAUACAUUUUAAUAACUUAGGAUAAUUUGUUAAUUUAAAUGUCGUAAAUUUACUGUAAUAUUUCAAUAAUGUUACUUUUAUAUUUGUAGCUUCAACCCGAUGACAUCCCAAAGAAAUAGGAGCGAAAUGCAUCUUCGACCAUUCAUAAACUGCAGUGAUAAAGAAUAAUGAAACAUUUGCAGUUUAUCUUCCUAAUUGUUUCUGAUAAAUUGUGGAUAUUGCCCUCUUAUAGGAAACUAUGCAAACUUCUCGUAUUCCAUUUCUUUGUCUCCCGUAUCACUCGAUUUUUUAAAACUCCUUUUUUUGUUUUCUUUCACAGACCAUCUGCUCGACCAUUACCAUUAUACGACUUGUUCAAGACCUGGGUGUCGACUU
rnacentral:lncRNA from 1 species